CCACGCUCCAAAACAACUUAUGACCACUGUUCUCUCCACAGUCACUGAACACACAGGUCCUCACCAUGGGAUGGAGCUGGAUCAUCCUCUUCCUCCUGUCAGUAACUACAGGUGUCCACUCCCAGGUCCAGCUGCAGCAGUCUGGGGCUGAGCUGGUGAAACCUGGGGUCUCUGUGAAGUUGUCCUGCAAGGCUUCUGGCUUCAACAUCGUUGAUACCUAUAUGCACUGGGUGAAGCAGAGGCCUGGCCAGGGCCUGGAGUGGAUUGGAAGGAUUGAUCCUGCAAAUGGUAAUACUGAGUAUAAUCAGAAGUUCCAGAGCAAGGCCAAACUCACUGCAGACACAUCCUCUAAUACAGCCUACAUGGAUCUCCGCAGCCUGACAUCUGAGGACUCUGCGGUCUAUUACUGUACAAGACACAGUGUUGCAAACCACAUCCUGAGUGUGUUAGAAACCCUGGAGGAGCAGGAAGCUGCCCUGGGACUGAAAUUACAGAGAGACUAG